GGAUUUAAAAUGGCGUCGGUUGGAUGAUUUCGGUUAAGGUUGGAACAAGUUGUUUUCUUCUGGACAUGGAAAACUACAUGAAUGAAGGAAAGGAUGCACGUUUGCCAUUCUUAAAAAAGUGGUCCACCUUUGUUCAGACUUCCUGUUCUGCAAGUUCAGUGACUAUAUGCCGC